GAUGAACGCUGGCGGCGUGCCUAAUACAUGCAAGUCGAGCGAACAGAUGAGGAGCUUGCUCCUCUGACGUUAGCGGCGGACGGGUGAGUAACACGUGUAUAACCUACCUAUAAGACUGGGAUAACUUCGGGAAACCGGAGCUAAUCCCGGAUAAUAUAUUGAACCGCAUGGUUCAAUAGUGAAAGACGGUUUUGCUGUCACUUAUAGAUGGAUCCGCGCCGCAUUAGCUAGUUGGUAAGGUAACGGCUUACCAAGGCAACGAUGCGUAGCCGACCUGAGAGGGUGAUAGGCCACCCGGGAACUGGGACAGCGUCCAGACUCCUACGGGAGGCAGCAGUAGGGAAUCUUACGCAAUGGGCGAAAGCCUGACGGAGCAACGCCGCGUGAGUGAUGAAGGUCUUCGGAUCGUAAAACUCUGUUAUUAGGGAAGAACAAAUGUGUAAGUAACUAUGCACGUCUUGACGGUAACUAAUCAGAAAGCCACGGCUAACUACGUG
rnacentral:rRNA from 1 species